rnacentral:rRNA from 1 species
CAGUCGCCACGGUAAUACGAAGGGGGCUAGCGUUGUUCGGAAUCACUGGGCGUAAAGCGCACGUAGGCGGAUUGUUAAGUCAGGGGUGAAAUGCCAAGGCUCAACCUUGGAACUGCCUUUGAUACUGGCAAUCUCGAGUCCGGGAGAGGUGAGUGGAACUGCGAGUGUAGAGGUGAAAUUCGUAGAUAUUCGCAAGAACACCAGUGGCGAAGGCGGCUCACUGGCCCGGUACUGACGCUGAGGUGCGAAAGCGUGGGGAGCAAACAGGAUUAGAUACCCCAGUAGUCCCUGUCUCUUAUAC